rnacentral:rRNA from 1 species
AGCAGCCGCGGUAAUUCCAGCUCCAAUAGUGUAUAUUAAAGUUGUUGCAGUUAAAAAGCUCGUAGUUGAAUUUCGGGGUUAGUAGGCUGGUCGUGCCACAGGUAUGUACUGGUCUUACUGAUUCCUCCUUCCUGAUGAACCGUAAUGCCAUUAAUUUGGUGUUGCGGGGAAACUGGACUGUUACUUUGAAAAAAUUAGAGUGUUUAAAGCAGGCUAACGCUUGAAUACAUUAGCAUGGAAUAACGAAAUAGGACGAUCGAUCUUAUUUUGUUGGUUUCUAGGAUUGACGUAAUGAUUAAUAGGGAUAGUUGGGGGCAUUAGUAUUCAAUUGUCAGAGGUGAAAUUCUUGGAUUUAUUGAAGACUAACUACUGCGAAAGCAUUUGCCAAGGAUGUUUUCAUUAAUCAAGAACGAAAGUUAGGGGAUCGAAGACGAUCAGAUACCGUCGUAG